UUUAAAUAUAUUUGUGAAAUUUUUGUUAAACGUUUGUCUGUCUGUCUGAUUUAUUUUUUAUGAUUAGUAUUUUUAUUGUUAUUAUACGAUAGAAACAUAAAUAAUACUUUAUGUAUGACUUUUUUUAUUUUUUUAUAAAAUUUUUAAAUAAGAUGGACGGUCAAAUGCUGGAUACAUAUACCCAUAAAUACACUUUAA
rnacentral:pre_miRNA from 1 species